rnacentral:rRNA from 1 species
ACACUGUAUUAUUAUGAACCCAUAAUUAAUAUUGAAUAAAUUCAUAAAUUAUGAAAACUAUUAUGCUAGAACUAGUAACAAGAAAAUGUAUUUCUCCAAGGCGCAAGCAUAAGCCAACAACGGACCACCCAUUGGCACAUAACGGCACUGAAUCAACUAUAACAAAAUAACUAGAAAAUAUUAUAUUUUAUUAUACCGUUAACCUUACACAAGAGUCCCCCUGGAAAGAUUAAAAGGAGGAGAAGGAACUCGGCAAAUACUAGCCCCGCCUGUUUACCAAAAACAUCGCCUCUUGAUUAGAUAUAAGAGGUCCAGCCUGCCCAGUGUUUUAAUUCAACGGCCGCGUGAUUUAAGCGCGCGAAGGUAGCAUAAUAAUUUGUUCUUUAAAUGAGGACUUGUAUCAAUGGCAUCACGAGGGCUAUACUGUCUCCUCCCCCCAAUCAGUGAAACUAAUCUUCCUGUGAAAAAGCAGGAAUAAGACUAUAAGACGAGAAGACCCCAUGGAGCUUAAAACACAGCAUUAAUUCUAAUUACAUUAUCAAUAUAAUUUUAUAUACUACAUGCCAGUUUUAGGUUGGGGUGACCGCGGAGUACAACAAAGCCUCCACAACGAAAAAGGUUUAUACCCUUAUCCAAGAGAUACUUCUCUAAGAAUUAUUCAAUAUAACGUUUAAUGACCCGACUAUCGAUCAACGGACCAAGUUACCCUGGGGAUAACAGCGCAAUCCACUUUGAGAGCCCCUAUCGACAAGUGGGCUUACGACCUCGAUGUUGGAUCAGGGUAUCCUAGUGGUGCAGCCGCUACUAAAGG